rnacentral:rRNA from 1 species
GACGAACGCUGGCGGCGUGCUUAACACAUGCAAGCCGAACGAAGUUGCGAACGGGUGAGUAAUACUUGGGUAACCUGCCCUCCUUUUUGGGAUAAGCCUUGGAAACGGGGUCUAAUACCGAAUAAAGGGGGAUGGGCUCGCGGCCUAUCCGCUUGUUGGUGGGGUGAUGGCCUACCAAGGCGGUGACGGGUAGCCGGCAUGAGAGGGUGACCGGCCAAAUUGGGACUGGGAUACGGCCCAGACUCCUACGGGAGGCAGCAGUGGGGGUUAUUGAACAAUGGGCGAAAGCGUGAUGCAGCGACGCCGCGUGGGGGAUGAAGGCUUUCGGGUUGUAAACCUCUUUCGCGAUCGAAAGGGUAGGUGGAGAAGAAGCGCCGGCUAACUACGUGCCAGCAGCCGCGGUAAUUC